CUUGCCUGCACCUGCCGGCGACCGGCGCACGGGUGAGUAACACGUAUGGAACCUGCCCGCCACAGGGGGAUAACCCGGGGAAACCCGGCCUAAUACCCCAUGCCGCCCGGACCGGGCAUCCGGUCCGGGCGAAAGGAGGAAUCCGGUGGCGGCUGGGCAUGCGGCGCAUUAGCUUGACGGCGGGGUAACGGCCCACCGUGGCGACGAUGCGUAGGGGUUCUGAGAGGAAGGCCCCCCGCACUGGAACUGAGACACGGUCCAGACUCCUACGGAAGGCAGCAG
rnacentral:rRNA from 1 species